rnacentral:rRNA from 2 species
GGUCUGAGAGGAUGACCAGCCACACGGGAAGUGAGACACGGUCCAGAUUCCUACGGGAGGCAGCAGUGGGGAAUAUUGCACAAUGGGCGCAAGCCUGAUGCAGCCAUGCCGCGUGUGUGAAGAAGGCCUUCGGGUUGUAAAGCACUUUCAGCGAGGAGGAAGGCAUCACACUUAAUACGUGUGGUGAUUGACGUUACUCGCAGAAGAAGCACCGGCUAACUCCGUGCCAGCAGCCGCGGUAAUACGGAGGGUGCAAGCGUUAAUCGGAAUUACUGGGCGUAAAGCGCACGCAGGCGGUUUGUUAAGUCAGAUGUGAAAUCCCCGCGCUUAACGUGGGAACUGCAUUUGAAACUG